rnacentral:rRNA from 1 species
UGGGGAAUAUUGGACAAUGGGGGGAACCCUGAUCCAGCCAUGCCGCGUGUGUGAAGAAGGCCUUAUGGUUGUAAAGCACUUUAAGCGAGGAGGAGGGUACUGGUAUUAAUACUACCAGGUACUGGACGUUACUCGCAGAAUAAGCACCGGCUAACUCUGUGCCAGCAGCCGCGGUAAUACAGAGGGUGCGAGCGUUAAUCGGAUUUACUGGGCGUAAAGCGUGCGUAGGCGGCUAAUUGAGUCGGAUGUGAAAUCCCCGAGCUUAACUUGGGAAUUGCAUUCGAUACUGGUUAGCUAGAGUGUGGGAGAGGAUGGUAGAAUUCCAGGUGUAGCGGUGAAAUGCGUAGAGAUCUGGAGGAAUACCGAUGGCGAAGGCAGCCAUCUGGCCUAACACUGACGCUGAGGUACGAAAGCAUGGGGAGCAAACGGG